rnacentral:pre_miRNA from 1 species
AGAAGUCAUUGUUGUUGAUCACGAUGAUGAUGAUGAUUAAGUCACGCAGUGUUCACUCACACACCGGUACGUUCGUUAUCAUCAUCAGCGUCAUGGUUAUCAUCACGU